rnacentral:ribozyme from 14 species
AAGAGAAGAAGAAGAAGAGGAAGAAGAGGAGGAAGAAGGAGGAGGAGAGAGGUUGGGUGUAUGAUGACCGUCUUUUUUCUUUCGUUUUUUUUUUUUUGUGUUUGUGUUUUU